rnacentral:rRNA from 1 species
UACAGGGGGGGCAAGCGUUGUUCGGAAUUACUGGGCGUAAAGGGUCUGUAGGUGGCCAACUAAGUCAGACGUGAAAUCCCUCAGCUUAACUGGGGAACUGCGUCUGAUACUGGAUGGCUCGAGUGUGGGAGAGGAAUGCGGAAUUCCAGGUGUAGCGGUGAAAUGCGUAGAUAUCUGGAGGAAUACCGGUGGCGAAGGCGGCAUCCUGGACCAUUACUGACGCUGAGGCGCGAAAGCUAGGGGAGCAAACGGG